UACGUAGGGUGCGAGCGUUAAUCGGAAUUACUGGGCGUAAAGCGUGCGCAGGCGGUUAUGUAAGACAGUUGUGAAAUCCCCGGGCUCAACCUGGGAAUUGCAUCUGUGACUGCAUAGCUAGAGUACGGUAGAGGGGGAUGGAAUUCCGCGUGUAGCAGUGAAAUGCGUAGAUAUCAAGAGGAACACCUGAGGCGAAGGCGGGUUGCUAGGCUGACACUGACGCUGAG
rnacentral:rRNA from 1 species